UACGUAGGGUGCAAGCGUUAAUCGGAAUUACUGGGCGUAAAGCGUGCGCAGGCGGUUAUGCAAGACAGAUGUGAAAUCCCCGGGCUCAACCUGGGAACUGCAUUUGUGACUGCAUAGCUAGAGUACGGUAGAGGGGGAUGGAAUUCCGCGUGUAGCAGUGAAAUGCGUAGAUAUGCGGAGGAACACCGAUGGCGAAGGCAAUCCCCUGGACCUAUACUGACGCUCAUGCACGAAAGCGUGGGGAGCAAACAGG
rnacentral:rRNA from 1 species